AUUUUUCCAUGCUAGCAUGGGUUAGAUGAAUAUAUUAUUGCAGCAUUGUCUUAUAGCCAAAUACCCUUACUGAUGUGGUCCCUAUUUGGAACCAUUGAUAUUAAACUGAUUUUUAGAACAUGGUGAAGAGGUAGGGGCUUGCUCCGCCUUUGUCACGGGUUGGCCUCGUAUAGCAGUACUUCCAGGAUUCAGCCCAUCUCCC